CGUCCCGCAGUGCCCUACAGCACGUCACGCAGUGCCCUACAGCACGUCACGCAGUGCCCUACAGCACGUCACGCAGUGCCCUACAGCACGUCACGCAGUGCCCUACAGCACGUCACGCAGUGCCCUACAGCACGUCACGCAGUGCCCUACAGCACGUCACGCAGUGCCCUACAGCACGUCACGCAGUGCCCUACAGCACGUCACGCAGUGCCCUACAGCACGUCAGGGUCAACUGUCUGCAAUGGUGGUUAUAAUAGAUGUAUAGAGAGGUCCUCUGUAACUCAGCUGGUUAUAAUAGAUGUACAGAGAGGUCCUCUGUAACUCAGCUGGUUAUAAUAGAUUUAUAUAGUGACUUUCUAUCAGCCCAUGUAGUCACAGCUGUUUACACAGAAUGCACGAUGACCACACAUCAGCUAUCAGUGGAGAGGUGAGGAGUGAUGCACGAUGACCACACAUCAGCUAUCAGAGGAGAGGUGAGGAGUGAUGCACGAUGACCACACAUCAGCUAUCAGUGGAGAGGUGAGGAGUGAUGCACGAUGACCACACAUCAGCUAUCAGUGGAGAGGUGAGGAGUGAUGCACGCUCACCACACAUCAGCUAUCAGUGGAGAGGUGAGGAGUGAUGCACGCUCACCACACAUCAGCUAUCAGUGGAGAGGUGAGGAGUGAUGCACGAUGACCACACAUCAGCUAUCAGAGGAGAGGUGAGGAGUGAUGCACGCUCACCACACAUCAGCUAUCAGUGGAGAGGUGAGGAGUGAUGCACGAUGACCACACAUCAGCUAUCAGUGGAGAGGUGAGGAGUGAUGCACGCUCACCACACAUCAGCUAUCAGAGGAGAGGUGAGGAGUGAUGCACGAUGACCACACAUCAGCUAUCAGUGGAGAGGUGAGGAGUGAUGCACGCUCACCACACAUCAGCUAUCAGUGGAGAGGUGAGGAGUGAUGCACGAUGACCACACAUCAGCUAUCAGUGGAGAGGUGAGGAGUGAUGCACGAUGACCACACAUCAGCUAUCAGUGGAGAGGUGAGGUGUGAUACAUGCCAAUUAGGAAUGAGGUGGAUUAUUAGGUGGCCAUGAUGGGAAUUUAGCCAUGACCCCCCCCCGGGGUCAACACCCCUACUCGUACGAUUCGUGCCAUGGGAGUUUUAGUGACCACAGAGAGUCAGGACACCCAUUUCACAUCCCAUCCCGAAAGAUGGCACCCUACACAGGGCAACGUCCCCUUCACUGCCCUGGGAUCUUCUUAGACCAGAGGGAAUAGUUCCCCCUAUUGGCUCUCCGACAACACAUCCAGCAGCUUCUGGUCUCCCAUCCAGAAAGACUCUGCUUAGCUUCAGAGGCAAGCCAGCAGUGGGAUGCAGGGUGGUAUGUGCUUGCAAUGCUCGGGUAGUGUGUUCCAUUCUCAGGACCACCCAUACGGAAAAAUGUAUCAACCCAUUACUUUAAGCCACUUUGGAUAAAAGCGUCUGGCUAAAUAUCAUACAUUACAGCCUAUAAUAUUAAAAUGGUAGAUAUAAAAUGACAAAUAUAUGACAUUCUAUUCUAGGUGCUG